rnacentral:lncRNA from 12 species
AUAGUAUGACCCUCAACAGGGCUCUUUCCCUUAGGGUUUUCGGAUUUCAUUUGUGCAAACAAGAGGAGGUGACAAGCUCUCCAAGCACCACUCACAGCUGUAGCUGAAUCCAGCGCCAUCUCGGUCUGAUCUAGAAGGGCAGAUGUGAUUCUGGAAGUGCUCCCACACCCUCUCCCAAGACCCCUCCCAAGUCUCUUGGGGCUGCAGCUGGGCCCAUCCUACAUCUUCUCAGUGGGAUGUCCUUUCAUUUAGGAAAAUAGUUUCCACAGACAGUGGCAGGGGACUGGGAAGGCCAUGGGAAUGGAAGGGGCAGGAAGGGAUGAGAUGGGUGUGCCCCAGCUGCCUGCUGGUGAGGUGAAUAGCCCCCUUGGGUCAGACAGACCAUUAACCAGCUGUUUGACCUUGGGCAGAGCUCUUAACCUUCUUGUACUUAAUAAUAGUACCUACGGUUGGGGGUUAUUAAUAGUGAGGAUAAAAUCGGGUUAAAGGGAGUGUGCCUGUAAAAUACUUGGCCCAGAGCCUGGUAUGUAGUAAGCACUCAACACUGUGGCCUAGCUGACAUGAUGACGAUGGUGAUGAUGGCCUCGGGGGCGGGGUGGGGAGAAGAAGGAUGACAACAGUCCUGGUGGACAGUAUGAUACACUAUGAGGCUCCCCGCUCCACCCUGCAUACCCGUACUUGGCUCUGCACUUCUGGUUUCUUCUCCCUGCCUGCCCUCCCGAGACUCUCCUACCUCAGCCCCACAGGGUGUCUUGGGCUGCCGGGGGCGCUCAAGGCACUGGGCCCCGUGGAUCUGAGCCUGGAAGAAGAUCUCAGUGCCCUGGACAGACAUUAAAUGGGAAAGGUCGAGUCUUCAAGUGAGAAGAAGAAGUGACUCGGGAGGCCCAGGGAAGCCACCUGGGAGUCUACACGGGCCAUGGACGAUCCACAUGCAGAUAUUUGAGAAUUUACCCCGUGAGGUUUGACGAUGGCAUGAAAGGUAUGAAGAUGUAUUUGAAGCAGCACUAAUGACAAUUAAUAUCCAUAUAUAUAUGGAUAUCUACAUUUUUCUUACCAGGAAAAUUAAGUAUGCCACCCUUGGAUUAUUGCCACUACUGGAAAAUAAAUGAAUAAAUGAGAGACUCA